CUGGUCUCCAGGCUCACAGAAAGGCUCCGAACCUGGGCUGACAUACUACACAGUGACCAGCAGAGGGCGCCAACAGUCUCUUCCCCAAAUUGUACCUGUGAGCAGAAAGAGCAGCAUAGAAGAGUGGUCAGUUUAUGCUGUAGAAGCCAUGGUUUCAACUUGAGGUCCUCUUGCCUCUUAUGAGUUGUCUCUUCUCCACCACGGCCAACUGCACACCUGAACUGUGAGCCCUUACUUUCUAAAGUCGUGUCUUCUCAGGCCAGGCCAUGAGGAAAGUGCAUAAUACAGAGAGCAAGUGACUGC
rnacentral:lncRNA from 1 species